rnacentral:lncRNA from 1 species
CGGUCGAUGCACUGUUGGCUGGUGAACGAUAAUUUUCCCGGAGUUUUGGAUGGAUAAACAAGACCGUCGAGUGGCCAAUGCGCAGAGGAAAUUUAGCCCUGAUGGCUACAGGCAUUGAGAGGGAUAAAGGCUCUGGGAACAUGAGAGACUCCAUCCACAUCGUGCUGAGAUCAGUACCACGAGGGCUGACCCUGGGUCCUUCUCUGGCCGAAGAUGGACAGCUAGGUCUGUGGUGUGUUGGGCGAGUGCUAGAGAAAGGCACUCUGCUAGGCCUGGAGGAACCUGACAAAAUAAACAGCAAGGGAAAAGCUGAGUUGAAUAAUAGCCCCAAGUAA